rnacentral:rRNA from 1 species
AAGGGGGGGUGCUAUACAUGCAAGUCGAGCGGACAGAUGGGAGCUUGCUCCCUGAUGUUAGCGGCGGACGGGUGAGUAACACGUGGGUAACCUGCCUGUAAGACUGGGAUAACUCCGGGAAACCGGGGCUAAUACCGGAUGGUUGUUUGAACCGCAUGGUUCAAACAUAAAAGGUGGCUUCGGCUACCACUUACAGAUGGACCCGCGGCGCAUUAGCUAGUUGGUGAGGUAACGGCUCACCAAGGCAACGAUGCGUAGCCGACCUGAGAGGGUGAUCGGCCACACUGGGACUGAGACACGGCCCAGACUCCUACGGGAGGCAGCAGUAGGGAAUCUUCCGCAAUGGACGAAAGUCUGACGGAGCAACGCCGCGUGAGUGAUGAAGGUUUUCGGAUCGUAAAGCUCUGUUGUUAGGGAAGAACAAGUACCGUUCGAAUAGGGCGGUACCUUGACGGUACCUAACCAGAAAGCCACGGCUAACUACGUGCCAGCAGCCGCGGUAAUACGUAGGUGGCAAGCGUUGUCCGGAAUUAUUGGGCGUAAAGGGCUCGCAGGCGGUUUCUUAAGUCUGAUGUGAAAGCCCCCGGCUCAACCGGGGAGGGUCAUUGGAAACUGGGGAACUUGAGUGCAGAAGAGGAGAGUGGAAUUCCACGUGUAGCGGUGAAAUGCGUAGAGAUGUGGAGGAACACCAGUGGCGAGCGACUCUCUGGUCUGUACUGACGCUGAGAGCGAAAGCGUGGGGAGCGAACAGAUAGAUACCUUGUAGUUCACGCGUAACGAUGAUGCUAAUGUAAGGGGUUUCGCCCAUAAGUGCUGCAGCUAACGCCAUUAAG